rnacentral:rRNA from 1 species
CCUACGGGUGGCAGCAGUGAGGAAUAUUGGUCAAUAGGCGUAAGCCUGAACCAGCCAAGUCGCGUGAGGGAUGAAGGUUCUAUGGAUCGUAAACCUCUUUUAUAAGGGAAUAAAGUGUGGGACGUAUCCUAUUUUUUAUUUACCUUAUGAAUAAGGAUCGGCUCACUCCGUUCCAUCAGCCGCGGUAAUACGGAGGAUCCGAUCGUUAUCAGGAUUUAUUGUGUUUAAAGUGUGCGUAGGCGGCCUUUUAAGUCAGCUGUGAAAGUCUGUGGCGCAACCAAAGAAUGGCCUCUGAAAUGUGGGGGCUUGAGUAUGUUUGAGGCAGGCGGAAGUCGUGGUGUAGCGGUGAAAUGCUUAGAUAUCACGCAGAACCCCGAUUGCGAAGGCAGCCUGCCAAGACAUGACUGACGCUGAUGCACGAAAGCGUGGGGAUCAAACAGGAUUAGAUACCCCUGUAGUC